UGAUGAGUCCAAACUGUAAACUACAGACACUGGGAAUUCUUUCUUUGUCCACAUUGUUCUCAUCCCUCUCUUCUAACUGCUCUAGCACAACAAAGAAAAGCAGGAUAAACCCUCGUGAGUCUUAGGGUUGCCAGGUUUGUGGUUCUUGACCAGAAUGUUUUCAGUAGAGUCUGUAGUAUCAGGUCACAGGUGAUGACUGAAUGCUGAAUGCAUGAUUGACAUUGUAAAAUGUUGACCACUUCAGUACAGUAGUAUGUUUCACGUCGAUCAUAACAUAACAAAAAUGACAUAACAUAA